CGAAUUGUUCCCUAGGGUUCCGCGGCGGAUACACCGGCCGGACUGGUCCAAGAGGGAACGCGCGGCACUUUAUCAUGUCGUGGACACGGAGGGACAAAAGCCCGGGAGAU
rnacentral:sRNA from 2 species